rnacentral:tRNA from 3 species
UCUAUCAAAGGAGAAUAGUUACCCCGCUGGUCUUAGGCACCACAACUC